UACGAAGGUCCCGAGCGUUGUUCGGAAUCACUGGGCGUAAAGGGAGCGUAGGCGGCGCGGUAAGUCAGAUGUGAAAUCCCGGGGCUCAACCCCGGAACUGCAUCCGAUACUGCCGUGCUAGAGGAUUGGAGAGGUAGCUGGAAUUCUUGGUGUAGCAGUGAAAUGCGUAGAUAUCGUAAGGAAGACCAGUGGCGAAGGCGAAUCUCUGGACAGUUACUGACACUGAGGCACGAAGGCCAGGGGAGCAAACGGG
rnacentral:rRNA from 1 species